rnacentral:rRNA from 1 species
UUUAUGGAGAGUUUGAUCCUGGCUCAGGACGAACGCUGGCGGCGUGCCUAAUACAUGCAAGUCGAGCGGACAGAUGGGAGCUUGCUCCCUGAUGUUAGCGGCGGACGGGUGAGUAACACGUGGGUAACCUGCCUGUAAGACU